rnacentral:guide_RNA from 1 species
AACAACCACAGAUAGAAAUGAACGUAAAUGAGAGAGAAAGAUGAAAGUUAAU